GACGAACGCUGGCGGUAUGCCUAACACAUGCAAGUCGUACGAGAUCCCUUUUUCUUUUAGAAAAGAGAAGAUUGCAGUGGCGGACGGGUGAGUAACGCGUAAGAACUUACCUUUUGGUGGGGGAUAACAGUGGGAAACUGCUGCUAAGACCCCAUAAUGCUGAGGAGCUAAAAGUGAAAACUGCCAAGAGAGAGGCUUGCGUCUGAUUAGCUAGUUGGUGAGGGUAAUUGCCUCCCAAGGCGACGAUCAGUAGCUGGUCUGAGAGGAUGAUCAGCCACACUGGGACUGAGACACGGCCCAGACUCCUACGGGAGGCAG
rnacentral:rRNA from 1 species